GGGUGAGUAACACGUGAGCAACCUGCCCCUGACUCUGGGAUAAGCGCUGGAAACGGCGUCUAAUACUGGAUAUGUGACGUGACCGCAUGGUCUGCGUUUGGAAAGAUUUUUCGGUUGGGGAUGGGCUCGCGGCCUAUCAGCUUGUUGGUGAGGUAAUGGCUCACCAAGGCGUCGACGGGUAGCCGGCCUGAGAGGGUGACCGGCCACACUGGGACUGAGACACGGCCCAGACUCCUACGGGAGGCAGCAGUGGGGAAUAUUGCACAAUGGGCGGAAGCCUGAUGCAGCAACGCCGCGUGAGGGAUGACGGCCUUCGGGUUGUAAACCUCUUUUAGCAGGGAAGAAGCGAAAGUGACGGUACCUGCAGAAAAAGCGCCGGCUAACUACGUGCCAGCAGCCGCGGUAAUACGUAGGGCGCAAGCGUUAUCCGGAAUUAUUGGGCGUAAAGAGCUCGUAGGCGGUUUGUCGCGUCUGCUGUGAAAUCCCGAGGCUCAACCUCGGGCCUGCAGUGGGUACGGGCAGACUAGAGUGCGGUAGGGGAGAUUGGAAUUCCUGGUGUAGCGGUGGAAUGCGCAGAUAUCAGGAGGAACACCGAUGGCGAAGGCAGAUCUCUGGGCCGUAACUGACGCUGAGGAGCGAAAGGGUGGGGAGCAAACAGGCUUAGAAUACCUGGUAGUCCACCCCGUAAACGUUGGGAA
rnacentral:rRNA from 1 species